rnacentral:rRNA from 4 species
GGACCAAGGAGUCUAGCAUGUGCGCGAGUCAUUGGGACUAGCGAAACCUAAAGGCGUAAUGAAAGUGAAGGUCCGCCGAGCGCGGACAGAGGGAGGAUGGGCGGUAUCUAGUGACCGCUCCGCACUCCCGGGGCGUCUCGUUCUCAUCGCGAGAAGAGGCGCACCAAGAGCGUACACGCUGGGACCCGAAAGAUGGUGAACUAUGCCUGGUCAGGACGAAGUCAGGGGAAACCCUGAUGGAGGUCCGUAGCGAUUCUGACGUGCAAAUCGAUCGUCGGAACUGGGUAUAGGGGCGAAAGACUAAUCGAACCAUCUAGUAGCUGGUUCCCUCCGAAGUUUCCCUCAGGAUAGCUGGCGCUCGCAUCUCGCGAGUCUCAUUCGGUAAAGCGAAUGAUUAGAGGCAUUGGGGUCGAAACGGCCUCAACCUAUUCUCAAACUUUAAAUGGGUGAGAUCUCCGGCUUGCUUGAACUGUGAAGCCGCGAGAUAUCGGAUCAGAGUGCCAAGUGGGCCACUUUUGGUAAGCAGAACUGGCGCUGUGGGAUGAACCAAACGCAGAGUUAAAGCGCCUAAAUCGACGCUUAUGGGAUACCAUGAAAGGCGUUGGUAACUUAAGACAGCAGGACGGUGGCCAUGGAAGUCGGA